GCUGCUUAUCUGAAACAUCUGCACAAUGAUAUUAAAUCGUUUACCGAGUCGGAAACUGAUUGACGGAAAAUGUAGGGAGCAAGCAACUUCAUAGAAACCAAUGUGGACAUAGUUAAAUGAAUUUCAGUGCCCGACUCACUGAUUCAAUCCUGGCCAUUUCAACCAUAUAAUUCCAGGGUCUUUCCUGCAAAAUUUAUGCUAAAGAACUAUUAACACGAACUA